rnacentral:rRNA from 1 species
GACGAACGCUGGCGGCGUGCUUAACACAUGCAAGUCGAACGAAGUGGCGAACGGGUGAGUAAGGCGUAAUCAACCUGCCCUUCCGACGGGGACAACAGUUGGACACGACUUCUAAUACUGCAUACUGAAGGAGGGGCUUGCGUCUGAUUGGCUAGUUGGAGGGGUAACGGCCCACCAAGGCGAGGUUCAGUAGCCGGUCUGAGAGGAUGAACGGCCACAUUGUGAAUGAGACACGGCCCAGACUCCUACGGGAGGCAGCAGUGGGGAAUCUUCCGCAAUGGACGAAAGUCUGACGGAGCAACGCCGCGUGAGUGAUGACGGCCUUCGGGUUGUAAAGCUCUGUUAAUCGGGACGCGGUACCGGAAUAGAAAGCCACGGCUAACUACGUGCCAGCCGCCGCGGUAAUAC